rnacentral:rRNA from 1 species
UGGCGGACGGGUGAGUAACGCGUGGGUAACCUGCCCCAUACAGGGGGAUAACAGCCGGAAACGGCUGCUAAUACCGCAUGCACAUGCGGGGGCGCAUGCCCCUGGAUGGAAAGCUUUCGCGGUAUGGGAUGGGCCCGCGUCUGAUUAGGCAGUUGGCGGGGUAACGGCCCACCAAACCGACGAUCAGUAGCCGGCCUGAGAGGGCAACCGGCCACAUUGGGACUGAGACACGGCCCAAACUCCUACGGGAGGCAGCAG